rnacentral:rRNA from 1 species
UACGUAGGGGGCAAGCGUUGUCCGGAAUUAUUGGGCGUAAAGCGCGCGCAGGCGGCCUUGUAAGUCUGUUGUUUAAACUCGGGGCUCAACCCCGAGUCGCAAUGGAAACUGCAAAGCUUGAGUACAGAAGAGGAAAGUGGAAUUCCACGUGUAGCGGUGAAAUGCGCAGAGAUGUGGAGGAACACCAGUGGCGAAGGCGACUUUCUGGGCUGUAACUGACGCUGAGGCGCGAAAGCGUGGGGAGCAAACAGG